CCUGACAGUAAAAGACAAACAGCCUGAACAGCAUUGUCAACAUCUAUUCUAAGAUCACCGGAGUUAAACAAAGGGACUUGAAUUCUUUCUGCAAUCGGCAAAUCAUUAAGAAAGCAGCAGGUUAAAGACUUUGAAGUAAAGAGGAGCAUCUCAUCUGAACCUGAUGUCUAGCAUGGAUAUUUAACUGCAGUUCUGUGAGUAUCCCAACUUAACCAUCAAGAUGAACUGCAAACUGUAAGUCAUAAGUUUCUCAUUAAUAUUGGGCACAUUGAUGUAUUUUGGCUUCCUGGUGAGUUAACCCGUUACCUGAAGGUUGAUUUGAGUAGUAAGGAUGUUUUAUUGGUUCAUGAGUUACUUAGGUGUUUGGUUUAUAUUGGUUUUAAUGAUUUGUUUAAAAGGUUACAGGCUCCAAGUUAUUGUUGUAAGCUGGAGUAAUGGUUUGGGUUCUGAUGUCCUCAGUCUUCUUUCCAGCUGCUCUGCAUCUUCAUCACAUGAGCGUUGCUUUACUGAUGAGGGUGUGAUCUGAGUGAGCAGAGGUGCAUACUGGGAUACAGAGCUGUCUGAAGUCUACAGGUCUGUAGACGCGCCCCCUCAGGGGAAACCAAGUGUUUGAGAAACCGUCGUGACGUCAGUUACAUGGACUGGAAUGUUCUUUAAGAUGGAGACAGGGAUUCAGAAGGAGAAACACCAGGGGGAGAUGAGGGGACUCCUCAUCUCAACGACAAAAACACAACUUCAGUCUGACACAGAGAACCAUGGAACACAUUCAAAAGUCCCCGCCAGGCAUCCUGACUCCUCAGGAGCAGUUUCAUUACCAAGAAGGUCUUAUUUGGGGCCAUCCCCAGAUGGAUCCUGCUCCUCAAGAGCCACCCCCCUCCACUGGGUGGUCUUCUGAACAGAUGACCUCCUUCCUGUCCUCAGGCUGACUGAAGCAAAACCGCUUGCAUCUGUGAAUGCUCCUCAUUCAGGAAACCACUGGACUACAAAGACAUGACUUCAUAGAAGUCGAAUCAACCUUGGAGACAUUUUGGAGACGCCAAGCAUAAUCCAUCACCAAUGUGGGACGCCACUGAAAAAUGUUGUACAUCAUUUCCUUCUCUGGAGGCAUUGGUUGUUCUGUUCUGGGUGCCCUGGCAGGAGAGCUGGGGUUGGAUGAUGGAACGUUGUUUGGCAUGAGGUUUUUACCCUGCAUGAUUGUUUGGCCUUUUAUGGCUCGGUGGUGUGUGUGUUUGGGUUUGACAUGAGAUGGAUGAUUUUUGUGCAUCCCUAGGGUUCUACUGUGUGUGUCUCCCACUCACACCUGGCAUGGGGUUCUUCGUGUGAAUCCUUGGAUCUAUGUGUGUGUGUAUCCGGCUUGCUUUGACAGUGAUAAUGUUCAUAUGGAGGUCUGUGUGAUUGGCUUGGGAUAUCGGAAUGGUCAAAUAAAUCAUACCUGAUGGACGGCCACAUGUUUAUUUAAAGGCAUCCAGUAGACAUGAAGAGCCCAGAGCGACGCUGCGGAGCGAGAUCCAACACACUGGGCAGGAAGGAGAGUAUCCAACUCAAGUGCAAAAGUAUGCAAGCGGCGUGUUCAGAUCAGUGACUUCAAACUAGGACUAAACCAAUCGGGAUCAAUGGAGGAUGGACACCUAAAGGAAAGUCUGACGUUGGAAAGGGACCUAAAUGGAUAUUCAAGAUGACCUUCAGACCUGUACUGAGACGGCUCUUCCUACCUGGCUGGAUUGAUGGAGAGCCCUGUGGAUCUUGUCUUUUUCUCAGUUGCACGUCUACUCAGGCUGAACUGUAUUUGUUUCGGACAGGACUAGCUGAACGAUUGGUUCCCUUAAAUCAGAACCAAUCUGGGAACUCCAACUAGUGCGCUCUUCGAGCUGAAGUUGUGCUCUUCAGCUGAGGAGGUAAGGAAACCCUCACUGAGGCUUCAAGGUGUAAAGAGGAGGAUGUUUCAAAGUGUUCCAUGGUACUCUGAUAAAGACCGUUGUUGUGUUCCACUGGCUGAGAGGAAGAACCCUCACAUCUUCCUCUUGGCCUUUCUCCUCUGAGAAUCCUGGCGCCAUCUUGAAGGAUAAUCCUGCUCAUGUAACUGAUGUCACGACAGAUUCUCAAACACUUGGUUUCUCCUGAGGGGCGUGUCUAUAGAACUGAAGACUUCAGACAGCACUGUAUCCCAGCAUGCAUCUCUGCUCACUCAGACCACACCCCCAUGAGUAGGAUGAAACGCUCUAGUGAUGGAGAUGCAGAGUUUUAUAAGUAACGAGGGAGCAGACGAAGGUGAUUAGAACACAAUGGCAUGUCAGGUCUGUAAAUCUUUAAACCAUGAGGAUGGUUGGAUAGUUCAGGAAUUGGGCUUCUUUUUAUUAUGGGCAGUCCUUUCGGUCAGAUGCCAACUUCUCACUGGACCUGUACAUGUGUUGGCUGGCUGGCAUGAUUUGCUGUUGGUGAUGAGUCGGUCAGGGUGACGUUGCAGGGCUAUGGUCGGCUCUCUGUGAGCUCAAAGUUUAGAUUUGCUCUGUAUGGUUUGUACCCUGAAUAAUCUAGAUAAUUGUAAAAUGUAGACACGGUUUUGUAUUGAAUGAUUUUAGCUUUAAAGUUGUUGUGAGACGUACCUGGUAGUUUUGGUUCUUACGUUUUUGAGUGAUAACUUGUACACACUGGGUGCAUAAUAAUGUAAAGGUACACUGAAUAGUAGUAAUGACCAACAGCAACAAACGGAUCUCCUCAAGGUAAGUCUGUUGGCUGUGUUUUAAUGAAGAUCAUCGCUGGACUUCAGGAUCUUCCUCCGCUCAGCUCAAGGUGAGGCGCUGGUUCUGUUUUUUCUUUGGUUGGUUCCGGCCGGAAUGUUCGGAUUCCGGUCGGACGGUUUGUGCUUCCUGCCGUGGAAGGUUCUGAGUGCGGUCACUUGAUUUAGUCCCAAUGGUUAGCAUAGAACGUUAUAGUCUUGACGACCAUAAGAAACCACCUGGUAGUUAGUUGGACGGGAGUCCCCUGAGGGAAUCUGGCAGAACGUUCUGGAUUGUAUUUGCGUAACCUCGAGCCGUUGCCAACGGAAACAAUUUUUUCAGUUGUUUCCAUCGGGAAUUGUUUCCCCUUAUCUUAAACAACUUAACUUUGAUAUUUAAUACAUACUGACACACGUACGUCGUACAAUAUGUUGAUAAUUUCCGAUGGUUACGCCGUACUUUUAACCACAAUGACGUGACCGGACUCUCGCUGCGUACAAAACAGCGUUCUAUUUGGGGCCCAUUUUUGACAUCGGAGAAGGCUGAAAAUCAUUUCAAGGUGGAAGACAAUUUGACAUUUCUUCAACGGAACCCAGCACCUGAAUAUGGCUGAGUAUAUUUGAUUUAAUAUUGAUACUGCUUAGUGUUCUUUGUUACUUCAGCUUUUGUACGUUCUAAAAAUCUGCUGUCAUUAAUUGCCACAGAAGUUAAACCCUACCAAAUGGAAUGAUGCUAAACAACGACUUUGGUGCCGAGUUACCAACUGGAUAAUAUCAAAGCUAAAAUAAUGGCCGUCCUUCCCACAUGUUACUGUAGAAGAUACUAUAGAACUGUACAAGGUUAAAAAGGUAACGUGUAGUUUCUCCCAAGGUGUCUGCCUCCUCACCCAGAGCCAGACCUCCACCUCCUCACCCAGAGCCAGACCUCCACCUCCUCACCCAGAGCCAGACCUCCACCUCCUCCCCCAGAGCCAGACCUCCACCUCCUGUCAGAAGUCCUCCAGAACAGCUGAAAGGUGAGGCUGAGAGACUGGGGACCGGAGGCUUGUGGUGCCAGGAUGGACCAGAGACUGAGGCUGGAGACCAGGGGCCUGCAGCACCGGACCAGAGGACCAAGAAUCCAUGGCUGAAGGAGCUGAUGGAGGAGCCGUGCUGAAGGAGUUGAUGGAGGAGCCGUGCUGAAGGAGCUGUUGGAGGAGCUGAUGGAGGAGCCGAGCUGAUGGAGGUGUCGUGCUGAAGGCCCUGCCUGGUGGAGGCCCUGCCUGGUGAAGGAUGUCUGUCGUGGGACCAGGACUCUGUCGGAGGAGAGCUGCUGGAGGACGACUAGGAAUCGACCAACAAGGAUUCCUCAAUGUGUUUCUGGAGCGGAGGCGAGUUGGUAGGGGAGCCGCAAAUCUGGAGGACGACAUCACUCCACCAACCAGGAUCCUCGUCUAUCAUGGACAUGUAACUGCAGUUCUAACGUGUUUCUGGUGCGGAGGCAAGUUGGUAGGGGAGCCGCAAAUCUGGAGGAUGACCAUCACUCGACCAACAAGGAUUGCUUGUGCUGUUUGUUCCAGACCAGGACUCUGGCUGAGGAGAGCUGAUGGAGGAGCCAAGACUCUGGAGGACGACAUCACUCUGCCAACUUGUUGGAACGCAGGAUUAGUUUGUCCAGUAAAAGAGACAAAUUACGUUUGUAACCAGACCAUGAAUCUGGAGGACUGAUGGAGAAGCCGUACAUCUAGAAGGCAAAUCCUGAGGACAACCAGAACUCUACCAUCAAGGAUUCCUCACACACCUGAACUGAACCUCACCUGAUCCUGUUUGGUCGGGGAUAGAAUCACCUGAGCUGAACCCUACCUGAUCCUGUUUGGUCGGGGGUAGAACCACCUGAGCUGAACCCGCCCUGAUCCUGACAUCCUGCUGGUCCUGUCUCCUCAGUUCAUCUGCGCCUCGUCCUCCAGAUGACCUGCUGAGCUCAGCGGUCUAAGGCUGAUGGAUCACUGACCUCCAGUGGGAGUGGUCUUCUUGACCCCACGUGUAACCGUGUGCUUCCACACGCCUUUCCCUCACGUCUGUCACUAACCUCACUACUCUCUACUGCUUCCUCUUCUUCUUCCUUCUCUGUGGUUCGAACCUUUACACUGAAGGCGCGUCUUCCUGCCCUCAGAGGGUUCAGCGUUAGGGUUGAGAGUCAGGGUUUAGAGUCAGGGACAGAGCUGGUCAGGGUGGACUGCUUUUACACAAACCUCUUCACUUGCUUUCGGAAUGGUGGUGACAUUUUGAAAAGAUUCAUUCGGGAAAAUGUUUUCCUCUGCUUCCCUUUACAAAAUUGUAUUAAUCUUCUGUCAAGUGUUUUUGUUUAUAUAUUAAAAUCCCACAUUGACUUCUACAUGUUUGGUGCGGUUCAUUUAUUUGUCCUUUAACUUGGUUAAUGUCAAGCUAAACUCCUGCAAUACAUUUAAUAUACAUGAUUGUUAUUCAGCAAUGUUCACAUA
ensembl:lncRNA